CCAACGGUCGGUUCACCAGAGACGCGGGCGCCCGAGCGCAACUCCCGCCAUCUCCCUCGCUUCCCGACCACCUCUCCUUCCAAAUGGGCAGUUCCACUCCCACCGCCUGGGAUCCCCCCACAAACCGCAGCGCCACCGCUGCGACCCCCACCCCGCAUCGCGCCUCCUCCUCCUCGGCGCCGCCGCGAUGAUGUUCCGCCCGGGCACCGCCGUGUGGGUGGAGCACGCGGACCUCACCUGGGCCGAGGCCGAGGUGGUAUCCUCCCCCGCCUCCUCGUCAUCGAAGUCCGCGGUCACGGUCGUUCUAUCCACCGGCGUCAAGGCCGUGGUGGACGGUAGGAAGGUCCUGCCGCGGGACACAGAGGCUGAUCUCGGGGGCGUCGACGACAUGACCAAGCUCGUCUACCUCCAUGAACCCGGGGUGCUCUGCAACCUCGCGCGGCGAUACACACUUAACGAGAUCUACACAUACACAGGGCGCAUCUUAAUCGCUGUAAAUCCUUUCGCAAAGCUGUCUCAUAUGUACAAUAUGCAUAUGAUGGAGCAGUACAGAGGCGUGCAGUUCGGUGAAUUGAGUCCACAUGUUUUUGCCAUUGCAGAUGCAUCAUACAAAGCUAUGGUUAGCGAGAACCGCAGCCAGUCCAUAUUAGUCAGUGGAGAAAGUGGUGCUGGGAAAACGGAAACUACCAAGCUCAUUAUGCGAUAUCUUACUUUUGUUGGGGGCCGUGCAACUGGUGAUGUCCGCUCUGUGGAGCAACAAGUUCUAGAGUCAAAUCCACUGUUGGAGGCUUUUGGUAAUGCACGGACUGUGAGAAAUGACAACUCCAGUCGAUUUGGGAAAUUUGUUGAAAUUCAGUUUGACAAAUCUGGUAGAAUAUCUGGCGCUGCGGUUCGAACUUAUCUCCUGGAACGAUCUCGUGUUGUGCAAAUUUCUGAAUCUGAAAGGAAUUACCACUGUUUUUAUCAACUUUGUGCAUCUGGGCAGGAUGCAGAUAAAUACAAGCUUUCUCACCCUAGGAACUUUAACUACUUGAAUCAAAGCCAUAUGUAUGAAUUAGAAGGGGUCAAUGAGGCAGAGCAAUAUUUACAAACACGGAGAGCAAUGGACAUUGUUGGUAUAUGUUUUUCUGAUCAGGAAGCUAUAUUCCGUACGGUGGCUGCUAUCCUUCAUCUAGGGAAUAUUGAAUUUUCUCCUGGAGAAGAGUUUGAUUCAUCUGUUAUUAAGGAUGAAAAUUGCAAAUUCCAUCUACAGAUGGCUGCUGAUUUGCUUAUGGUUGAUGCAAGCCUUUUGCUUUCAACUCUUUGCUAUCGCACAAUUAAAACUCCCGAAGGAAACAUAGUCAAGGCAGUUGACUGUUCUGCAGCUGUCAUUGGUCGUGAUACACUUGCAAAGACUGUUUAUGCUCGACUAUUUGAUUGGCUUGUUGACAACAUUAAUAAGUCCAUUGGGCAGGACGUGGAGUCAAGGUCACAAAUUGGGGUCUUGGACAUAUAUGGUUUUGAGUGUUUCAAAUAUAACAGCUUUGAGCAGUUGUGCAUCAAUUUUGCUAAUGAAAAGCUCCAACAACAUUUUAAUAAGGUAUUUUAUGGCCCCGCCCCUCAUCCUCCCUUUCAAGCACAUAAAUAUCUGAUUCCUUUUUUCUUUAAUUUCUUGAUCCAGCAUGUUUUCAAGAUGGAGCAGGAGGAAUAUAAAACAGAAGAAAUCAAUUGGAGCUACAUUGAAUUUGUUGAUAACCAAGAUAUAUUGGAUCUUAUUGAAAAGAAACCAAUAGGCAUAGUUUCACUAUUGGAUGAAGCAUGCAUGCUUGGGAAGUCAACACAUGAAACUUUUGCAAUGAAGUUGUUUCAGAAUUUAAGGGCACAUCCAAGACUAGAAAAACCAAAGCUUUCUAAGACAGAUUUUGCCCUAUUUCAUUUUGCUGGAAAGGUGACCUACCAAACUGAUUUGUUUUUAGAGAAGAACCGAGAUUAUGUUAUAGCAGAGCACCAGAAUCUUUUGUCUUCUUCAAAAUGCUCAUUUAUUUCUGGUCUCUUCGCUUCACACCAAGAUGACCCCUCAAAAUCAUCCUAUAAGUUUUCUUCAGUAGCUUCACGAUUUAAGCAACAACUCCAAGCACUAAUGGAGACACUUAGCUCAACGGAACCUCACUACAUCCGUUGCAUAAAACCAAAUUCUCUGAGUCGUCCACAGAAGUUUGAAAAUGGCAGUGUUCUACAGCAACUGCGUAGCGGGGGUGUCCUUGAAGCUAUUAGGAUAAGUCUUGCUGGUUAUCCCACACGGAGAACAUACUCCGAGUUCAUUAAUCGCUUUGGACUUCUUGUGCCAGAGCAUAUGGAUGAAAGAUUUGAUGAGAGAUCACUGACACAGAGGAUCCUAAAGCAACUAAACCUUGAGAACUUUCAACUUGGCAGGACAAAAGUUUUUCUCCGGGCUGGCCAGAUUGCUGUUUUGGACUCCAGACGUGGUGAGAUUCUGGACAAUGCUUCCAGAAUAUUGCAGGGUCACUUUCGAACCUUUAUUGCUCGCAAGAAAUUUCUUUCAACAAGGAAAGCUUCCAUCUCCAUCCAAAUGUAUUGCCGAGGGUGUUUAGCACGAAAUGUGCUUGAAGCUAAGAAACAGAUAGCAGCAGCUGUUUCAGUUGAAAGAUAUGCUCGAAGAUGGUUGUGUCGUUGUGCAUAUUUGCAUCUUCGUUCUGCUGCUCUUGUGAUCCAGUCUGGUAUUCGCUAUAUCUUAGCAGUUCAAAGAUUGCGGCACGUAAAGAAUGCUAAAGCUUCUACUGUUAUACAGGCUUGGUGGAGGAUGCAGAAGCUCCAUAAUUUCCAUCAGCAAUACCGAUGGGCAACAGUUCUCAUCCAGUGCUGUUGGAGACAGAAGCUUGCUAAAAGGGCAUUGCGGAACCUUAAACAUGCUGCAUAUGAAGCUGGAGCCUUACGAGAAGCAAAAGGAAAACUCGAGAAGAGCUUAGAAGAUCUUACCUUACGAUUCACCUUAGAGAGGAGGCAAAGGCUUGCUGCUGAAGAGUCGAAGGCAUUGGAGAUAUCUAAGCUUGUCAAAAUCUUGGAGUCUGUGAAGUCAGAAUUAGAGGCAUCAAAUGAAGAAAAUAAAAGGAAUUGCAAGAAAAUUGCCUCGCUCCAACAUCAGUUAGAGUUAUCAUCCAAGGAUCAAGAAGCUCUGAAUAACAGUCUUUCUCAAAUGGAAGAAGUGAAGAGGGAGAAUAUUUCACUAAAGGAAAGUAAUGCAGAAAUGGAACAAGAGCUAUUAAAAGCUCAAAAAUGUAGCCAUGAUAAUAUGGAUAAGCUGCACGAUGUGGAAAAGAACUAUUUGCAUCUCCGGGAUAACUUGAAAAACUUAGAGGAUAAGAUCUCGAAUUUAGAAGAUGAGAAUCAUUUAUUGAGGCAGAAGGCCUUGAACUUAUCUCCUAGGCACAGCCGAAGUGGGAGCCAUCAGAUCGGGGCUUCACCAUGCAGCCCAAGGUCAUUCUAUGAAUCUUCACCUGUAAAACUCGCACCUCUCCCACAUAACACUACAGAACUAAGAAGGUCAAGGAUGAAUUCUGAUAGACAUGAGGAUUAUCAUGAUGUGCUCCAACGAUGCAUCAAAGAUGAUAUGGGAUUCAAGAAGGGAAAACCAGUUGCAGCCUGUAUCAUUUACAAAUGCCUUCUCCAUUGGGGAGUAUUUGAGGCUGAAAGAACAACUAUUUUUGACUUCAUAAUUCACACAAUUAAUAACAUCCUGAAGACAGAAAAUGAGAACGACAUUUUGCCCUAUUGGCUAGCCAAUGCUUCUGCCCUUCUAUGCAUGUUACAAAGAAAUUUAAGGUCAAAAGGAUUCAUAAUGGCACCCUCUCGAUCGUCUUCAGAUACUCACUUAAGUGAAAAGGCAAAUGACACAUUCCGGUAUCCUUUGAAAGCCUUUGGCCAGCGGACAAGCAUGUCACACAUUGAUGCUCGAUACCCGGCCAUGCUAUUUAAGCAACAACUUACUGCCUCCUUGGAGAAGAUCUUUGGAUUAAUUCGUGACAACCUAAAGAAAGAGAUAUCCCCUCUUUUGAGCCUUUGCAUUCAGGCACCAAAACUUGCUCGAGGAAGUGGUGGAAGGAGGUCUGGAUCACCUGACGUGGCCGUGCAGCAACCAAUAAGUACUCAUUGGGAUCGGAUUGUUAAAUUUUUGGACUCACUGAUGGAUAGACUACAUAAAAAUUUUGUGCCUUCUUUUUUCGUCCGCAAGCUAGUAACUCAAGUUUUUUCCUUCAUUAAUGUACAGUUGUUCAAUAGUAUGCUUCUACGACGAGAAUGUUGCACAUUUUCAAAUGGAGAAUAUGUGAAGUCUGGGCUUUGUGUACUUGAGAAAUGGAUUGUGGAGGCUGAAGAAGAGCAUACAGGUACAUCUUGGGAUGAGCUGAAGUUCAUCAGGCAAGCGGUUGACUUUCUGGUCAUUCCACAUAAAAGCAAAAAGACCCUUGAGCAGAUUAAGAGGAAUAUUUGCCCGGCGUUAAGUGUGAGACAGAUAUAUCGUAUAUGUACGAUGUACUGGGAUGACAAAUAUGGUACCCAUAGUGUAUCAGCUGAGGUUGUUGCCAAAAUGAGGGACAUGGUGAGCAAUGACACACAAAAUCCUGUGUCCAAUUCAUUUCUUCUAGAUGAUGACUUAAGCAUUCCAUUCACAACCGAGGAAAUAGCAGAGGAAGUACCAGACGUUGACAUGUCAAACAUUGAAAUGCCCUCAUCGCUUCGUCAUGUUCACUCUGCUCAGUUCUUGAUGCAGCACCUUCAGUCGUCUUGCCUGUCGCGAUGAAUUGCCUAGGUUUGGUAGCAAAUAGUGAUGCCCCGUUAGCUAACUUAGAGGAAUGAUAGGCCGUGAUAACAUAACCAUACCUGUUGGUUCAAUUGUUGCUAAUAUUCAUCCACCAUAUGCUUUAUUCAUUUUGUUUUGGUCAUCUCGCAUUCCUUCUAUGUCAAGCCAUCGGCUGUGUUAUAACUAUAGUAGGCUAUAUUAUUCUUUGUAUGUACGCAAAAAAAACAUGAGUGAGCGAGAGCCCAGGGGAGCGAGAGCCCGGCCAGCAGGAUCAGGCGGAGCAGGCUGUUCGUCUGGGCGAGGUGGAGGUUGGUGGUGCCCGGCUCCUCAUUCAGCCCCCUGCAAGAUCUUCAUCGAGAGGCUACCCCUGUACGCCUGGUGCGAGGAGGGAGUCCGCCAGGCUCUCGGUGAUUGCUGCUGCUUCGACUACAUCGACCCGGUGUCCUUCACCCAGGAGAACACUGAGUUCCUCCAAUGCUGGGUGUGGAUGUGGAGCCCGGACCAGCUGCCACGCUCCAAGCUGACGACCUUCUUCCCCGAGCGCGCCGGUCGUUCCAGCCCGGGCGUCACAGCCCCGGCGGCGGCGGUAUGGUGGACCUGCUCUUUCAUCUCGACAGGUAUUUCGACUCGAGCCCGCCACCGCAGCCUCACACACCAAGCUCCCGGGCGAGCGGGAUGCCGUCCUCCACCACUACGGACUCGGAGGGGCGGUCGUUUCCUGUCUUCAGGGAGUUCGCCUGGCACCCUGGGGUGCUGGAUGGGCGCAUGCCUGCGUGCCGGACUCCCAGGACUCCCUCAGCCUGCAGGGGCGGGCCGGCCCCGGCGCGUCGCGAACGCGACCCCGACGACGACGACGACCACCGCGACCUUCGCCGUCACUGGGCGGACAACAUCAACGCCCGUGGUCGGCCGGGGGAUGACUUUACUCUGUGCGGAUUCCAGGACAUGGGGAGCAGAUACCGCUCCCGUUCGCCGGCUCCGCAGGGUCGCCGCCAUGAUGCUGACUCCCGCGGCAUGAGCUGGACGCGCUCCCCCCCCCCCCCCCCCCCCCCCUCUCCCCGGCCAGGGAGCGUGACCCUGCACGCAGAGAUGAUGAAGGCUGGGAGCGCCGGCGCUCACGCUCCCCUGCGCGCUUCCCCUUCCGCGUCGACGCUGGCCGCCCCUGCUCACCACCACCCACGCGGGGGUCUGCGCGCGCUGAGCGGCGCAUCGGCUCGGCGGCAGGAUCUCCUCCAACUCAUCACCAACGCCCAGACUCUCCAUCGACUAGACGCUCCUAUGAUCCUGAUCCGAUCAUGGACUAUCUGCUGACCCUGUGCCGGGGUCCUGGCCUGUGCGUUGACUUUCCCAUUGACAAGGUGCAGGACCCAAUGCUGUUGGAGGUGGCGUGCGCCAGUGUGGCGGCGGCGGCUCUGCAGCACCAGCCUCCCUUCUCGCCUUACCCCGGCUGGCGGGGUAGGGGGCGGAUGCACCAGUGCUGAGGGACAUGGUGCGCAGCGAGGAGGUUCUGUUCGGGCCUGGUGUCCAGCUUGACUUUGGGCGGGAGUCUCUCGAGCAGUUGGCUGAUCAAGUGCAACACAUGGAUAUCGACGGCCCACCGACUUCAGAUGUGGUCAGCAACAACAAAGAAGAUUUCCUUGGGCAGAGCAGCAGGCUGCUUGCUAGGCCCUCCUCCGUGCAGUUGCAAGGAGGGCAACUCAUCGUCUCAUCAGACAGCUCGACCUGGUUGGACAGAAGGAGGCCAUCGGCGAUGAGGCUGUGGAGAGGUAUGAGCGGAUGUAUCAGCACCAAAAUUGCAAGCGGGGGCUGUGAUGGAGGCGACUGCAGCUUUAGCGGCCGAGGCCGGUGCAGCAGAGGUCGAAGCAAACUAAAUGUCACUGUCACAUUGUGUUCCCAGAAGCCUUUUUAGUUAUCAGAUGUUGUCUUUAAGUUAUCAGAUGUUGUCAUUGUUAGUUUCAGUUCAGUCUACUGCUCUAAGUUGUGUAGCAACCUUGUGGGAAUCUGUCGGUGGCAGCGGCAGCUUGUUAUCUAUUGUUAGUGUCCUAAGAUCUGUAGUAGCCUGGUGGGGAUUUCAGAGUUUCAGUCGCACCCUGUUACCUGUUGUUUCA